AUAAUACUCCCUUCGUUCGAAAUUACUUGUCGCAGAAAUGGAUGUAUCUAGACGUAUUUUAGUUCUAGAUACAUCCAUUUCUGAGACAAGUAAUUCCGAACGGAGGGAGUAAGAG
rnacentral:pre_miRNA from 1 species